GAACGCUGGCGGCGUGCUUAACACAUGCAAGUCGAGCGAUGAGGCUUCUUCGGAAGUGGAUUAGCGGCGGACGGGUGAGUAACACGUGGGUAACCUGCCUCAUAGAGGGGAAUAGCCUUCCGAAAGGAAGAUUAAUACCGCAUAAGAUUGUAAUAUCGCAUGAUAUAGCAAUUAAAGGAGUAAUCCGCUAUGAGAUGGACCCGCGUCGCAUUAGCUAGUUGGUGAGGUAACGGCUCACCAAGGCGACGAUGCGUAGCCGACCUGAGAGGGUGAUCGGCCACAUUGGGACUGAGACACGGCCCAGACUCCUACGGGAGGCAGCAGUGGGGAAUAUUGCACAAUGGGGGAAACCCUGAUGCAAGCAACGCCGCGUGAGUGAUGACGGUCUUCGGAUUGUAAAGCUCUGUCUUCAGGGACGAUAAUGACGGUACCUGAGGAGGAAGCCACGGCUAACUACGUGCCAGCCGCGGC
rnacentral:rRNA from 1 species